GCGCAGAACUCCGAUUGCGAAGGCAGCGUACCGGCGCCAGACUGACGCUGAGGCACGAAAGCGUGGGGAUCGAACAGGAUUAGAUACCCUGGUAGUCCACGCAGUAAACGAUGAAUGCUGGUUGUCCGGGUCGAAUGAGAUCUGGGCGACGAAGCGAAAGCGAUAAGCAUUCCACCUGGGGAGUACGCCGGCAACGGUGAAACUCAAAGGAAUUGACGGGGGCCCGCACAAGCGGAGGAACAUGUGGUUUAAUUCGAUGAUACGCGAGGAACCUUACCCGGGCUCAAACGGGAGCGGAAUGGACCAGAGACGGUUCAGCCUACGGGCCGCUUCCGAGGUGCUGCAUGGUUGUCGUCAGCUCGUGCCGUGAGGUGUCGGCUUAAGUGCCAUAACGAGCGCAACCCCCGCCGGCAGUUGCUAACGGGCAAUGCCGAGGACUCUGCCGGGACUGCCGCCGCAAGGCGAGAGGAAGGCGGGGAUGACGUCAAAUCAGCACGGCCCUUACGUCCGGGGCGACACACGUGUUACAAUGGGCGGUACAGCGGGAAGCCAGGCGGCGACGCCGAGCGGAACCCGAAAGCCGUUCUCAGUUCGGAUCGGAGUCUGCAACCCGACUCCGUGAAGCUGGAUUCGCUAGUAAUCGCGCAUCAGCCAUGGCGCGGUGAAUACGUUCCCGGGCCUUGUACACACCGCCCGUCAAGCCAUGGGAGCCGGGGGUGCUUGAAGUGCGUCGCCGCGAGGCGCGCCCUAGAGCAAAACCGGUGACUGGGGCUAAGUCGUAACAAGGUAACCA
rnacentral:rRNA from 1 species